AGUCGAGCGGAUGACAGGAGCUUGCUCCUGAAUUCAGCGGCGGACGGGUGAGUAAUGCCUAGGAAUCUGCCUGGUAGUGGGGGACAACGUUUCGAAAGGAACGCUAAUACCGCAUACGUCCUACGGGAGAAAGCAGGGGACCUUCGGGCCUUGCGCUAUCAGAUGAGCCUAGGUCGGAUUAGCUAGUUGGUGAGGUAAUGGCUCACCAAGGCGACGAUCCGUAACUGGUCUGAGAGGAUGAUCAGUCACACUGGA
rnacentral:rRNA from 1 species